rnacentral:rRNA from 1 species
UACGGGGGGGGCAAGCGUUGUUCGGAAUUACUGGGCGUAAAGGGCUCGUAGGCGGCCAACUAAGUCAGACGUGAAAUCCCUCGGCUUAACCGGGGAACUGCAUCUGAUACUGGAUGGCUUGAGAUUGGGAGAGGGAUGCGGAAUUCCAGGUGUAGCGGUGAAAUGCGUAGAUAUCAUGAGGAAGACCAGUGGCGAAGGCGGGUCUCUGGACAGUUCCUGACACUGAGACACGAAGGCCAGGGGAGCAAACGGG